AAAGCGAUUUUUCCCUGAAGCCACACCAUCUGAAGUUAGCGGCGUCUAUCUGUAGUCUCUGAGACUCAGUUGCUGCUUCUCUGCCUGCUGCGCAUAUACCCGGCGCUCAGCCGCUUGUGUUGCUCUGCCAGCUGAAGUCUUUUUUAUACGGGCACAGGAUAGGAGCAUGGCAGGCCAAAAAGCAACAUUUGAGGGCAAAAAUGGGGUCAGCUGUUUUCAUACAGGGCUGUGGUUCCAGGUUUAAGGGAGGGGUUUAGUCAGGAGCCAAGCCGUUCUGUAUCAUUUUCCCCCUCUGAAGAGGCACAUCUAACUGCCAUUAGAAUACGGACAACGACCAGUCUUUCCGUUGUUUAACGAAAGCGGCCUUUGGAUUCCUCCCAGAAGUCUACCCAAGGAUCCCCAGCGAAAGGGAGCCAUAGUCCGAGGCUCUGGCUGCCUGCCUGUUUGGAGCUUUGAUGGCCUCGAGGCCCCCAGAUGAGACAGGAUUGUUCCCUUCACCUUAACCCCCUUCGUGGGCGGGAACUGGAGCAGCUCAUUUCACUCAGCUCGCCUCCUGCCACUACUGGCGGCAGAGCGUGCGAGUGCGGGAACCGGAGCGAACGAAUGAAUGCUGGAACCGGCCGGUCACUCCUCUCUGACGGGAAUAGGCUCUGUGCGGGCCUCACAGCAGCGUCCAAGCCCUGGCCUCUCGGCACCGGGGUGCCUGUCCGGCGUCCAGGAAGAAUUAGGUCAUACGAACGGAUUGAAGAGUAGUGUAUGCGGAGGAUUUGAUUGAGUGGUGGCUCCUGGUGGGAUGGGAACUGGAAAGCAGACGGUGAAAGAGGGUCAUCUUUCCCUGAAGCCGCACCAUCUGAAGUUAGCUGCGUCUAUCUGCAUUCUUCAACACUCUUGCUGCUUCUCUGCUCUCCGCUCAGCCGCUUGUGUUGCUCUGCCAGCUGAAGUCUUUUUUAUGGCCACAGGAUAGGGGCGUGGCAGGCCAAAAAAACAACAUUUGGGCAGAAAAACAGGGUCAGCUGUUUUCAAGGCCGUGAUUCCAGGCUUAAGGGUGGGGUUUAGCUGGGAGCCCAGCCAUUCUGUAUCAGUGAUAGUUGCACAACUAUAAAUAUACUAACAACCAUUGAA